GGCUAUUGCAAAGUCCCAGACAUCUGCUGGAUUUAUAAUACAGCAGAUAGGGAACAGUCCCAGAGGUUCCUCGAGUGUGUGGGAGAUCACUUCCUGACACAGCUGGUGAGGCAGCCAGCAAGGGCAAGCAAAAUCCUGCUGUUUGUUCACAGAGAAGGUCUUGUGGGGGAUGUCAAGGCUGGAGGCCGCCUGGGGCAAAGGGAUCGUGAGAUGCUAGAUUUCUCAAUCCUUGUUGAACCACGGAGGGGAGUCAGCAGAACUGCCACCUUGGACUGCCGGGGAGCAAACUCGAACCUCUUUAGGACCAUGGUUGAGAGGGUCCCUUGGGAAGUACUUUUGGAGGGCGUGGGAGCCCAGGAAGGCUGGCAGUACUUUCCAGAAGUAAUUCUAAAGGUGCAGGAGCUGACCAUCCCCAGGUCAUGGAAGAUGAGCUGAUGGGCAAGGAGGCUGGACUGGCUGAACAGAGACCUUCCACUGGAACUCAAGAGCAAAAUGAAAGAUUAUGGUCUGUGGAAGAGUGGGCAAGCUACUUAUGAUGAUUACAGGAACUCCGCCACAGCAGCAUUUUCCAGUCCGUGGCACCUUGAUCCCAGGAUGUGCUCCGCACCGUGCUUCUAGGGCAUCAACAUCUGCUGCUGCACAAAGGCCCCUGAAAGGAAAAGCACCCUCCCACGUUUGCGCUGCUCCCACACUCCCCAGAACUGUCUCUCAAAUCUCACAUAACACAGACUCUCUCAGACUCUUGGCUGCAGCCCAAUAGCACAGCAUCCCCUCUCUCACUUCAUGAGCCAAGACGCCAUAGUUUGUGUCCCUUUCUAAGCUUUACUGACACAAUUAGGCAAGAACUUAGGUUAGCCCAUCCUGCAGCCAGGAAUGCUCCAACCUGAGGGGGGAGUGGCCGUGAGAGCAAUGUCUCUGUGCAAGUGCAGCUCGUUCCUCCCCUCUGACAGGGGCAGAAGGAGGGAGGCAACAGACAAAAGCAGAAAGCGUCUGCAUAUCCCUCGUGGCUGAGCCGCUGUGCCUCUCCGUUAUUCUUAGCCCUGCAGCUCGGACAUCAUCUUUACACUCAGCUGGUCCUGGGCAUAAUGCUCCACACAAUGACCCUGCAGAGCCCAAAGGCCUGCCUGCCUGCCUGCUGUCACUCACCUGGAGGUUGCAGGGUGCUGUGCCUCCUGGCUGGACUUGCUGCUGCUAAGU
ensembl:lncRNA